CUGACUACUAGGGGGAAGGAUCUUUCCUGGAGAUGUGCUCCGCUGGAGUUAAGCCUAACAAGUGAGCCCAGGAUACAGACAUUUGUCCUUGCUGAGACUACAGCUGUGUGUGCCCCAUGCAGACCCACCACCGCAGACAUUUCCCCUGGAGGAAAAGAACUCAGCUUCACAGAAGGGUAACCUCUGCCACCUUCACGGUGAACUUACUAAGCUUUGCUCUGCCAGAAGAACAAUUAAAUGCUGACAUCCCUAUGUCACCCAAGUCAGAGUAUGAAGUAGAAAAGUAUGAAGUAGAAGAGGGGAAAAGAGCCUUGCCUUUCACACUGCUGGGGUUGUUUUUGCAGUACUGAAGACCACAGUGGGGCAACAAAGAGAGGCAUAGCAGAGACUGACUUAAAUAGUUUCAGCACCAGAAAGCAGAAGAAUGUUUCCAUGCUGCUUCAUUCUGACGUGAUUUGACAACCUCAUUUCACCCUAAUGUCACUGGAAAUCACAGUCCAAUUUGACUGUGGCAUAGUGUAAGAUAUAAAGAGACCUAUGUAUGUUUUGCAUGUUUUGCUUCAGAAUAGAACAGUUAACAUUUAUAGGCUUUGCCUAGUAUGGACUGCCUAGAGCACCAAAACUGCCUGCUAUGUCCCCUCCCAAUUAAAAGAAAAAUGGAUAGGUUUUACUAUUCCUGUGUUCUUUUGCCUUUUCACUUGGCUGAGCAUUACUGGAUGCUGUCUUUCUGUCAGUCACAUUUCAUCUUAUCUUUUUGCCUCUAGCCAUUUUGGUCCGCAAUUGAUUUUCUCACCACUUUAAGCAGAAACUGUGAGAUCUGUAUAUUGGCACAUUUCUCAGAGCUUUCUGCAGUAGUGGAAGCAGGCUGCAUCCUACAUGCAGCUGCUGAAUAUCUUUAUUUUCCUUUUGAAGGCAACGGAAGUUACACAUACUCAGUAAUUUCAGUGGAUACUGAGAAUUUUGCAUAAUCAAAUCCAUUUUUCAUGCUUCGAACAAUUAUUUCCAUGAAUGUGCAUGCAUAUAUACGUAUAAAUACAUACAAAUGUGUGCAGGCUUCUGUGUAUCCACAUUUAUACAUACACAAGUUCUCUGACUGGAAAAUUUUGCUUUAUAAGUAAGCUUCUCUCUUUGCCAUAGGAAAAAUAAUAAAAGCUAUUAGUCCUUUAAAAAAAAAAAAAACAAAAAACCUUAAGAAAACUGCAUUCCAAUCAUAUUCUGUGAGGGUUUUUUUGUUUUAAAUAGCUAAAAUAAUUUCUAAUUUAAUCUGUGAUGUGAAUAGAAUAAGCAAUUUCCAUGUUGUCCUUCAUGUGAAUAGCUCAGAGUCACAUGGCAGUCAUUAGAUUGCUCAGGUAAACUGUGCCUUAGACAACGGACACUCUUUUGCUUCAGUUACUACUGCAGCCCAAUCCCUUCUCUAAAAUUGUACUGUUUAUGGUUUCUCUUUGAUAAGUUAAAAAAGCUGUGGUGCUGCAGUAGGCUUCUAAGCUAGAACUGGAAAGGCAGAAAUAGACUUAUUUCCCUUCUUGGAUUGAAUUAAAUAGCCAGGACACUGCACUUUUACAGUCAACGUCAGGUUGCAUCCAUGCCUGUAUGCAAAUAAAGGGAUCUGUUCACGAAGAACUCUAAGGAAGUAGAUCUUGGAUUGAGUGAGAACUUCUGGUUUACAGACACUUAAAAAUCAUGACCACUUGAACUAGAGAAAAUAGGCAAUAACUUUUAUCUCUAUUUGAAUCUCACAAGAAUGUGUAGGUCAUAUCUGUGCAGAGUAUCAAAUGUGAGAGUGGCUCUUCAAGGACAUGAUAAGGCAUACACACAGUCUCUGGGUCUGAGACUAGCAGGACUAGCAGCAACUCAGAGUAACAGAGCAUCUCACUUGGACACACAUUUCAGAAGAGCAUUCAAAUAGUAGCCUUUAUGCAAAGAGUACCCUUAAGAUGAUGCCCCUGCUUCUUUGACUUAGCAAAUACAAGAUAGAAAAACAAGCAAAGAAUAUAUCUUCCCAUCAUUACACAGUGCAAACCGGUGUGUCAAACGCAAGUAAUUCACUAGAGGAAUCUUUCUGUUUCUCCAAUCAUUUUCAGUGGUUUUGCACUAGCUGGCAUACCGUGUAUCAAAUGAGUAGUGGUUGUGCCUUCAGCUUUCUUGAGCUUUCAUAGUCUGUCUCAUUUUUUCUGCCAGAAGCAGUUAUACCUCAUUCCAGCUCAGUGCUAUUUCAGACCUUCUAGCUACAGCAAUAAUGGCAAAAAGAGCAGUUCAUGGCUAAACCUGUAUGUGUGUAUGUUUGAAUCAGUAUCUGGGCAUGUAUGUAAAACAGACAUGGUAUGUGCGUCAGUACACACAUGUGUAUAGACAUUUCUUUCAGUUCCACAUACUGGUUGUGAAACUUGCAAAUAUCAGCAAUAAAACAGGCAGGAAUCUUUGCUAGUCUAGUGUGAAAAGAACAAUUUGAGUAGCUUUCAGAUGCCACUUGUAUCACUUAAAAAGACUGUUUUUAUGGUCUCCAGCAAGAAAUGUUCUCUAUAUUGGGUAGCUGAUUUAUCUGUGUACCACAGUUAAAUAGCACUCAUCCAGUUUAGAACGUUUUCUUAUGUGUAUGUUCUAGAUUUAUCAUUAUGGCAUGCAACACUGUCCUUCUAGUAGUAUUCUUCAGAGAAUGAGUGAAGAUUUCUGUGGGCAGCUAGAGAGCGUGUGGGGGAGGAUCAUUUCUGAAUACUGACUGGGUACAGAGUCUUAGCAAUGCCAAAGGGAAAAUACUCUUGCAUGCAGGGAAGAUUUGAUGAACAAAAUGUAUUUUGCUUGGCUUGACUCAAUGUCCCAUUCUUCAGUUCCACAUGUAACUGACUUCAUUUAUUUUGUUUACAAUUAAUACCAUGGAGUUGGGUUGGAGGGUGAUUAUUACACUGGUAGUACUGUGUAAACUUGCUCACCUUAACAUCUUGCUGUGUUGCAUUAGUUUCAAACAUUUUUUCCUGGUUAAGUAGCAGUACAGUUUUCUUGCAGUCAGAAUGCUCCCUGCAAUUGAUAUUAUUUCACAAUGGUCUUUUCUAGUUACAAUUACUCUGCUUACAGAAAUCUUA